UAGUCCACGCCGUAAACGAUGGAUGCUUGUCGUUGGAAGUGUUAACCCUUUCAGUGACGGAGCUAACGCGUUAAGCAUCCCGCCUGGGGAGUACGGUCGCAAGAUUAAAACUCAAAGAAAUUGACGGGACCCGCACAAGCGGUGGAGCAUGUGGUUUAAUUCGAAGCAACGCGAAGAACCUUACCCGGUCUUGACAUCCCAAGGAGCUGGCGUUACUGCCGGUGUGCCCUUCGGGGAACUUGGUGACAGGUGCUGCAUGGCUGUCGUCAGCUCGUGUUGUGAAAUGUUCGGUUAAGUCCGGCAACGAGCGCAACCCUUGUCCUUAGUUGCCAGCGCGUCAUGGCGGGCUACUCUAAGGAGACUGCCGGUGUGAAACCGGAGGAAGGUGGGGAUGACGUCAAGUCCUCAUGGCCCUUACGAUCGGGGGCUACACACGU
rnacentral:rRNA from 1 species